rnacentral:lncRNA from 10 species
AUCCAGUUAUUAAACAUUACCAGCACAACAUUGGCUUCUUAUUCCUCAGUUUACCAGGCUGUUACUCAAAAUUCACUCUCCAGCCCUGCUUUGGAGCAGUUGGGAACUUCAGCAUUUUGAUCCACCUUUUUGGAGCCACCUCAUGUGAAAGAUGGAUGAGACCUUCGUCAGCAAACCUGUCUACGUAGGAGCUGGUAUGAGGAUCACACAAUGCAAGCAAAUAAAAUGAGAAAAGAUGAUUCAACAAGAGGCUUCACUGAUUUACUGUUUAACUGCUUUGACCAAAGUGCUUGGUUCUUAUAUGAAUAAGAAAGGGGAUGAGUUAUCCACCAGAAUGAAAGUUAUAUUCUGGUUUGAAGCUUCUGCUGUCAGAUAAUAUAGUUUUCUAUAGUGUGGAAGAACAGCAUCAUCUUCAAGCAAGGUGGAAUUAAGCAUGGACAGAACUGUGUUUCUCACCCAGGAGGAGGUAUGAAAGUUUUCAAGACGCCUACAAGUGGAAAAUGCACUCCUCCCAGCCAAAUCAAGCUUCGCCAGAUUCCUUACAGCUGUGUGCAGUGAAAUGACUAAUGAAAGAGCCCUCUGCUGCUGGUGGAACUUUCACAUAUGGCACUGUUAUGCCACUCAGCAGGACCCGACCCUGGUAUUUACAUAUUGGAUGUCACCCCAAAAGCCCCUGACCAGGGGGUUUCCGGGAUGUAAUAAGAAUGCCACUCUGGGCUUUGGAAGGUGCACCGUAUGCACACCCAUACUAUAGGGCAGGGGUUAGCAUUUCAGACCCCUGUUCCUCCCUUGACAAGCAAGUGCUUUUCUCCAGGGAAGACGUUCAGGUUCAUUCAUAGAUCCAUUGGUGCCGUGGGCAGCUCAGUAACAAUAGCUCUGCUGCCUACCAGCUGCUGGUGGAGGUGUUGAGAAUACCUAAUGAGGAAGUCAGGGCCCCUGCGUGCUUCAGCAGAGCUGGAUGCCUGGCAUGGCAAUCAAUGGACACAAACCUUUGGAUAAUUUCCGUCCUUGGCGGU